AAACCAUAAACCCGUCAGGGUUUGUCUUGGGCCGGUUCGCCCGCAAGGGCGUGGCCUCGAAGCGAUCGGUCUAACGAGCGGACGAGUUCCAUUAGGACGCACCGUUUUCAAGACUUGAAACACAUCAG
rnacentral:misc_RNA from 1 species